rnacentral:rRNA from 1 species
CGAACAGACGAGGAGCUUGCUCCUCUGACGUUAGCGGCGGACGGGUGAGUAACACGUGGAUAACCUACCUAUAAGACUGGGAUAACUUCGGGAAACCGGAGCUAAUACCGGAUAAUAUAUUGAACCGCAUGGUUCAAUAGUGAAAGACGGUUUUGCUGUCACUUAUAGAUGGAUCCGCGCCGCAUUAGCUAGUUGGUAAGGUAACGGCUUACCAAGGCAACGAUGCGUAGCCGACCUGAGAGGGUGAUCGGCCACACUGGAACUGAGACACGGUCCAGACUCCUACGGGAGGCAGCAGUAGGGAAUCUUCCGCAAUGGGCGAAAGCUUGACGGAGCAACGCCGCGUGAGUAAUGUAGGUCUUCGGAUCGUAAAACUCUGUUAUUAGGGAAGAACAAAUGUGUAAGUAACUAUGCACGUCUUGACGGUACCUAAUCAGAAAGCCACGGCUAACUACGUGCCAGCAGCCGCGGUAAUACGUAGGUGGCAAGCGUUAUCCGGAAUUAUUGGGCGUAAAGCGCGCGUAGGCGGUUUUUUAAGUCUGAUGUGAAAGCCCACGGCUCAACCGUGGAGGGUCAUUGGAAACUGGAAAACUUGAGUGCAGAAGAGGAAAGUGGAAUUCCAUGUGUAGCGGUGAAAUGCGCAGAGAUAUGGAGGAACACCAGUGGCGAAGGCGACUUUCUGGUCUGUAACUGACGCUGAUGUGCGAAAGCGUGGGGAUCAAACAGGAUUAGAUACCCCUGGUAGUCCACGCCGUAAACGAUGAGUGCUAAGUGUUAGGGGGUUUCCGCCCCUUAGUGCUGCAGCUAACGCAUUAAGCACUCCGCCUGGGGAGUACGACCGCAAGGUUG